rnacentral:rRNA from 1 species
UGGGGAAUUUUGGACAAUGGGCGAAAGCCUGAUCCAGCAAUGCCGCGUGUGUGAAGAAGGCCUUCGGGUUGUAAAGCACUUUUGUCCGGAAAGAAAUCCUUGGCUCUAAUACAGUCGGGGGAUGACGGUACCGGAAGAAUAAGCACCGGCUAACUACGUGCCAGCAGCCGCGGUAAUACGUAGGGUGCAAGCGUUAAUCGGAAUUACUGGGCGUAAAGCGUGCGCAGGCGGUUUGCUAAGACCGAUGUGAAAUCCCCGGGCUCAACCUGGGAACUGCAUUGGUGACUGGCAGGCUAGAGUAUGGCAGAGGGGGGUAGAAUUCCACGUGUAGCAGUGAAAUGCGUAGAGAUGUGGAGGAAUACCGAUGGCGAAGGCAGCCCCCUGGGCCAAUACUGACGCUCAUGCACGAAAGCGUGGGGAGCAAACAGGAUUAGAUACCCUGGUAGUCCACGCCCUAAAACGAUGUCAACUAGUUGUUGGGGAUUCAUUUCCUUAGUAACGUAGCUAACGCGUGAAGUUGACCGCCUGGGGGAGUACGGUCGCAAGAUUAAAACUUAAAUGAAUUGACGGGGUCAUAGCUGUUUCCU